GUGUUCACUUCAGCAGCACAUAUACUAAAAUUUGAACAAUACAGAGAAGAUUAGCAUGGCCCCUGCUCAAGGAUGACAUGCAAAUUUAUGAAGCAGUCCACAUUUUU
rnacentral:snRNA from 1 species